rnacentral:lncRNA from 1 species
ACCCUAUGUUUUUCUGGUUACACCCAAAUUUUCUUAAAUUUUUUUAUAAUACCAAAAUUGCCCUUUUAUAUAAAUAUUCUUAAAACCCUAAUUUUAUUCAUUGUCAGUGAGUUUCACCCUCUUUCACCCCACAAAGUGAUCGAUCAAACAAUUUGAUGUUCAAUAUCAAUCUCCAUGAAAAUUAAAGAGUGAAUCAAAAUAUUUUUCAUCCAUACUCAAUUGGAUAUAAGUAAGUGAAUUUCUUCUUCUAUUUGCUAGUUUCAAUUUUUUUCCUUCAACUGCAAUGAUGCACUGUACGA